GUGCCAGGUGUUUGAUGUAAAGUGACUCAAGUGUUGUUAGAAAGGAUUCUUGGGUUGUUGAGGAUCGAUUUUCCACUGUUGCUGAAAGCUGCUAUGAUAAUUCGUGCAGGAACGGCGAAAAGGUUUUAAGAUUUCUCAAUGGAAGGGACCCGUUUCCAUGGUUACAGUUAAUACGCUAAGCAGAUGCAACGUUUACCUGAAUGUUAUAUACAGGAGGAGGAAACAUCAACUUCGCCCAAGAAUUUGCGAGGGCAGUUAUCGGACACUGCUGCUGCUGCUGCUGCUGCUGCUUAACCUCCAAUUUGCUGUCCACUCUCCUCCAAUUUGCUGUCCACUCUCCGUCUUUUGGAACAACCUUUUAUCUUGGGGAAGCAGUGUGAAGGAGUGGAGGUUUGAAACUCAUAAGGUUGGGCGGAGGCUUUGGAUGUGCUUACCACUGCCAGUGGCGGUGGGGUACCAGGAUCUCCUCAUCUUCUUCGUCAAUUCCUUCCGCUCCCCCUACUCAUUCAUUCACCGGGAUCUGAGGGUAACUGUAAGUGAGGGAUUUAUAAGGGGUAAUGUAAUACCUCUUUUCUUCUAAAGGACAUAGAGCUACCUUCCUCUGUCGGGUGUGACACUUCGUUCCUCCCACCAUCUGCAAAUUGUGAACCGUGGUGUAAGUAAUCUCAUUAUUUUCAAUUACAUCUCGGUAUUGGCUAUGACUAAUACUCUUUUGACAAUAUCUUUCAAUCCCCUUUAAUAAAAGUGUUACACUGACUGUUUUGCAUUUCAUAUGAAUAUUCAAACUUUGGAUUUUACACCAAUGAACUCUGACAAGUGCGACACCUGUUUCAAAUUUGACGAGUCCAAGUUGCCCCUUGCGCGUGUCUUCAUACACUUCAUGAGUUUUGGGAAAGUUGUUCAAAUUCAAAUACGGUUUAAGUACAUCCUUCAAUUCACAUGCGAGGUUGUCUGUCUCCAGGGAGAAGAUCAAAUUGUCAGUGUCAGUGUACAGGAGCUUAACUCUAUCACCAUGCAGUUUUUGAAGGAUGUCAUAACGAAACUUGUACAUCAUGUCCUUAGCCAGGUCCAGUAUGCUGAACCUGACAUAGAUUGCGGAUUCCGCUGUAAUGAUCUCUCUGCUGUGAUUUCACAAUGUAUCAUUGAUUGUUCAACCUUUCAAAGGACUUGUAUGUGUGCUUAGACACAUUUCUAAGUAGUGAGGGUUCAUCGGUGGUGGCAACUGUCCUAGUGGAAGUUCAAAAGAUUUUUAAUGGUCAUGCCAAAAAGGCCGUUCAUCAAGAUAUUGAUGGUGUUCCUCUUGUCAGGGCCUGGUUCUUUCGCAUUCUCUGUGAUGUAUUCCCUUAAAUAAAAUCCUUGUUUGAACUUGUAAACUUUUCUUAUCACGUCAACUUCUAGACCGAGUCUUAUUAAUGUUUGCAAUAGGAGAAGGCAAAUUAAA